GGCGAGGUAGCUCAGUUGGUUAGAGCGCAGGAUUCAUAUCCGCCGCGGCGGACGGGAGUUCAAAUCUCCCUCUGAUUG
rnacentral:tRNA from 1 species